UACGAAGGGGGCUAGCGUUGCUCGGAAUCACUGGGCGUAAAGGGUGCGUAGGCGGGUCUUUAAGUCAGGGGUGAAAUCCUGGAGCUCAACUCCAGAACUGCCCUUGAUACUGAGGAUCUUGAGUUCGGGGGAGGUGAGUGGAACUGCGAGUGUAGAGGUGAAAUUCGUAGAUAUUCGCAAGAACACCAGUGGCGAAGGCGGCUCACUGGCCCGAUACUGGCGCUGAGGCACGAAAGCGUGGGGAGCAAACAGG
rnacentral:rRNA from 1 species